CCAGUUGAAUGGCCUUUGACCUGACUUUCCAUGUGCGGGGAAAAUCAUGGCCCUAAGAGAGUCAGACUGGACCAACUUGUGGAGCUUCCUUGACAAGCCUGCACUAGGCUUCCGGGUCUACACUGUGCUUACCACCCCGCCCUUGGUCAGCAUCUUGACUCUUCCCAGCACUGCACAUUAGUGUGUAGUCUCUUCCCUUACUCACUUCGUAAAGGGACAGCCUAGCACAAAUUAAAAACAAAAUUUCUGAGGUCAUGGAAGAAAGAAGAUAUGCACCACAUUAUCACCAGAUCCUGUCUAAAAGUUGUCCCCAUCCUGAUGGAUUGAUCGAGACUUUGGAUUCUGGCAGUCUUUGAAACUCACACUGCAUGACAUGUGCAAAGUCCUCCUUCAGUCGAAGGAUGAUUCUUCAAAGGGUGAUCCCUCAAAGACACUAAGAAGGCAGCUGACCCCCAGAAGGCCCUUUUGGAUUGCAGAAUUCCAGGCGCUCGCACCUCUGAAUACAGCACUGAAGACAGCUUGGCUGCCUCCCCGCCUCCUCUGUCCUGGUACAGCUGCAGAGGGGCUGACUUUGGCAGCCAUAGAUCACUGAGGCUUUGUCUCAGCUUCUCUCAGAACAGCUUUUCAUCAGGAGAUUCACAACAUCUCUCAAAACACAUGUAGGAAGAAGAAGUAAAGCAAACACCAAUGGUUUCUUUCAAGAAAGAGACUACUUGGAAUCUUUGGGUUUUGGUUUAUGAUUACAGUGUGUGGAACGGAUCAUUUCUGGUUUAUGAGCAGCUUGAUGUGCUAGAAAGAGCUGUGAAUUUGGACUUGGAGCAAUUAGGAUUCUGGUUCCAGCUUUUUUCCAGCUACAGCUCGCGAGUAACUUAGUUUAGCUUCUUUGACCUUGGUUUCCUCAUCUGUAAAAUGAGAGGGUUUGCUCAGAUGAUCUUUGACCUAAUGAGUCUACGAAAAGUGAAUGUUGGAAGCACAUGUUCACCUUCUCCAAUUACCAGCUGUGAUUAUGUGACUGGACCAAAUGGCACUAACUGUCGAAACCUUUUAGGCUGAAGGGGAAGCACUAACUGUUGAAACCUUUUAGGCUGAAGGGGAAGCAUUCUGAAAUAGGACAAGGGGCACCUCGUGUUGAAACCUGGAGCUGGUCAACCCUCUGAGGCCAAUGCCGACCUUUGCAUCUGCCUCCCACGCCCUGCUUGUUUUAGCUGGACCAGGAGAAACUAAUGUCAAGACAAAAAAAAAAAAAACCUGAAAUCCAUAACAUUUUGAUAGGUAGCUUUAUGAACAGUUACAAAUCAGAUGUUUGCCCCCCAAAUUUUAACUUUAUUCUCUGAAACAGAUCUAAAAUUCCUAUCUACCUCACAGUUUCACAGAUAACCCAGUCUCUUCCAGUUUAUAACUGCCUCUUUGGGGACUGAAGUCCUUGUUCUGGCUGGCUGCCGUGGAGUGGAGGCUGCUCUCAGCUACUCGAAACUGCCACUUUCCUUGCCACUUGGGCCCCUAGAUCUUCAAGCCAUCAAUGAUGUGUCAAAUCCUUCUUGUGCUUCCAAUCUCUGGCUUUCUGUUUGGUCAUCAGCCAGAGUAAACUCUCUACUGUAAAAGGAUUCGUAUAAUCAGCCUAUUUCUUUUAAUGCUGUUUGAGACCUGUUAAUGGUUGUAGCCUGGUCAGAAAAAGGACUCCUGGAUCCUCCUGGAAGCUUCGUGAUUUGUUACUGCUAAUUCACGUUUACCCACAAUGAGCAUCCAUACAUGGGUUCUGAAGAUUAAAGUCAUCCUUGAGAAGGGAGAGUGGAAUGCCAAAACUUUUCUUGGAUUCCAGAGCUCUGGUUCAUGUCUGCAACAUGGAUGCAAUGAUAUAACCUUAUUUUAUGUAUCAUCCAUUCACCUGUUGAUCAAAGACUGUAUUCAAGAUGGCAGGCACGGUGAAGUCAAUGAUAACUCUAGUUUAUUGAGAAACUACUCGGCAUCAUACAUUAUCUUAAUUAAUCCUCUUUACAAUCCCAGAAAGUGUUCCUUAUCCUUUAUCUUCAAGUACCCUAAGGUGCAAAGCACAGAAGGAGGGGUGGUUUAGAAAGACUGGGCUCGGCCGGGCGCAGUGGCUCACGCCUGUAAUCCCAGCACUUUGGGAGGCCGAGGUAGGCGAAUCACCUGAGGACCGGAGUUCAAGACCAGCCUAACCAACAUGGAGAAAUCCCGUCUCUACUAAAAAUACAAAAUUAGCCGGGUGUGGUGGCGCAUGCCUGUAAUCCCAUCUACUCUGGAGGCUGAGGCAGGAGAAUGGCUUGAACCUGGGAGGCAGAGGUUGCUGUGAGCCGAGAUCACGCCAUCGCACUCCAGCCUAGGCAACAAGAGCGAAACUCCAUCUCAAAAAAAAAAAAAAAGAAAAGAAAGAAAGACUGGGCUCUAGUCUUGGGACUAUUAUUUAAAAGUUGUUUGUCUUCCUUUUUCUGAGACUGUCUCGCCAUCUCUAAAGUAAGGAUAAUAUUAACCAUCCUGCUUGCCACACAGGGAGUAAUUUUGCAAAAUAUAUUAGGCUUUGAAGGAAGAAGUCGUUCUAACAGUCCCUAGCUAGAACUUGAGUGACUUAAAGGUAUUGGUUUAGUUACUUUAAUGCUUUUUUGUUGUGGGCUUUUAAAAAAAUCUAUAAGGGGGUUAGGUUGCUUAGAUAACAUUUCUGUUUUCAAAGACAGUCUAAGCAUUGUGGAAAGCAAGACUCUGACAUAUGUGGACACAUUAAGCCACUGCACACGUGUCUUAUCAGCAAGCAGUACCAGAAAAAAACAAUGGCUGGUUCUGCUGAAAUUGUGAGCAUUCUCUUGUGUCAGCCAUGCUUGUGUGGCUAGAACAUAGGGAGGAAGAAGGCAAUGGCAUGGGUCGAGACGGGAAACGUGGC
rnacentral:lncRNA from 10 species